UUGCUUUGAUAGCACAUACACUAAAAUUGGAAUGAUACAAAGAUUGGUGUGUCCCCUGAGCAAGGAUGACAUGCAAAUUCAUGAAGCAUUCCAUAAUUUU
rnacentral:snRNA from 1 species